GAGAGGGGCGCGGAUCCAGCAAGCUGCCCUCAGCAGCCUGGCUCCGUUAUUUAUAACCGUGGGUCGCCUUACCUCCUGACCUUCAGCGGGGACCAGCUAUCCAACGCGAUUAGCAUCUCUCCCGCUGCACACUAAGAACAAACACCCCUCUGUGUGGCCUCCAGGAGGGCUUGCAGGAAACAGGAUGUUGACCCGAGGCUCCUCAGGGUGGAUCCAGUCCCAAGAUACCGCAUUCCCCACCAUGGUGAUGGACCCCUGGAGAAAGGAGACGCCCCGAGUGCCUGAGUGCAGUUAAAGGGAUCUAGGAAGAAGGCGUGUAAAGGUGUUGAUGCUUUCCCAGUCUGCCUGUCUCCAGGAUCCCUCAGGAAACACAGGGCUUAAGAUGUUCCCAGGCAGUAAAAUCACCUCUUUGUGAAGAAUGCCUUAUGCUGCUGCUCCUGAUUCUUUGUGAAGACCUCUGGGCAGUUUCUCCAAAGAAGCAGCAUGGAUGGCAUGCCAGCUCGCAUGGACGCAGGCAUGCACACCUGCUCCCACAGAUGCAGACCAAACCAGAGCAUGAAAAGCCAGUAGCUGAAAAUCCACUUCUGAAUUUGGAACUCAAACUACAGAUCUUUGUCUAGGAUGAGUCAAUGGUAUAAGAAGGUAGGCUUGUUGACAAAGGGCAAUAGGAAAAAGAAACUGAGGCACCUGCCCGGAAGGAUACGGUGUCUUGUUAAUUGUUGAGUGAUAAAUGAUCUCAUGAGCUUUUGCAACAAAGACUCUCGAGGCCAUCACUGUGGUGCCAAGGAGGAAAACCCAGUUUCUGAACAGUUACUCUACUUUGGGGUGUCUGUGCCUGAGACGCCCUGCUGAUAGCUCCAAAGAUACAAUUUUGCCUUCUUGCUUAGGGAGAGUGAUGCUAUGCUUGAAAAUCAUACCAAAAGCACCGAAACUCUCUGGACUCCAUUCCCUGAAUUCCCUGUUGUGCGUAUGUUAAUUUUCCUUAGUUCUGUGUCUGUUCUCCACGCAUGUGUUGAGGUUGGUUCUUGUUAUA